rnacentral:rRNA from 1 species
CGGAAUUACUGGGCGUAAAGCGCACGUAGGCGGCUUUGUAAGUCCGCUCUGAAAGUCCAGGGCUCAACCCUGGAAAGCGGGUGGAUACUGCCGGGCUAGAGUCCGGAAGAGGCGAGUGGAAUUCCUGGUGUAGCGGUGGAAUGCGCAGAUAUCAGGAGGAACACCGAUAGCGAAGGCAGCUCGCUGGGACGGUACUGACGCUGAGGCGCGAAAGCUAGGGGAGCGAACUGG